rnacentral:misc_RNA from 1 species
AAGUCGUAACAAGGUUUCCGUAGGUGAACCUGCGGAAGGAUCAUUAUUGAAUAGCGUGGUGCUGAUGCUGGCUCUCUCGGGGGCAUGUGCUCGCAUUGCAUUAUUAUUUAUCUCUUGUGAACCUUUGCUUAGGCUUUGAAGUGAGCACCUUUCGUGCGCUUCUAAAGUGUUGCGGUUGGGGGUCUGAAGGCUGCAAAGCCUACUGACCUUACCCGUUCGCUUCAGAGUCUAUGAUUUUAUAUACCCUGUUAAAGUGAUAGAAUGUCUUCUUACUUGACUGGAAAGUCAGUAAAUUUAUACAACUUUCAGCAACGGAUCUCUUGGCUCUC